GACGUAGGAGGCGAGCGUUAUCCGGAUUCACUGGGCGUAAAGCGCAUGUAGGCGGUUCGUUAAGUCCGCUGUUAAAGCCCCCGGCUCAACUGGGGGAGGUCAGUGGAGACUAUCGGACUUGAGGGCAACAGAGGCACGUGGAACUCCCGGUGUAGCGGUGGAAUGCGUAGAGAUCGGGAAGAACACCAGUGGCGAAGGCGACGUGCUGGGUUGCGACUGACGCUGAGAUGCGAAAGUGUGGGGAGCAAACGGG
rnacentral:rRNA from 1 species